UACGAAGGGGGCUAGCGUUGCUCGGAAUUACUGGGCGUAAAGGGCGCGUAGGCGGACAGUUUAGUCAGAAGUGAAAGCCCAGGGCUCAACCUUGGAAUUGCCUUUGAUACUGGCUGUCUUGAGUUCGGGAGAGGUGAGUGGAAUGCCGAGUGUAGAGGUGAAAUUCGUAGAUAUUGGGAAGAACACCGGUGGCGAAGGCGGCGACCUGGUCCGAUACUGACGCUGAGGCGCGAAAGCGUGGGGAGCAAACAGG
rnacentral:rRNA from 1 species